rnacentral:lncRNA from 1 species
CUUAGCUAUGAGCUCACAUUUGCCAAUGUAGUGUUCCAGACAGUUUUAUCAUCCACAUUGCUGACCUGGAAGAUGCAUCAUUGUCUAUGAUAUCUGCAAUGGAAAUGAUCACUAGGCAAUUUCAGCCUUGCAAAUCUAACAUCCAGAUACCAACCUCACCAUCGUCUGACUACUAUGUCCCUGGUGCACAAUGCCUGCCUUCACUACAGCCUUUCACACAAAGCAUUUACCCUGUUGCUUAAUUGUCUGAUCGUCCCACUCCCUUGGAUGAGAACUGCAUCUCUUCCAUCUCUUAUUCUGAGUGGCUUGGCUAAGACAUUCACUGACUCCAUGGGGAAACUUCACCUACAGAGGAAAGAGCCAUCCUCCUGUGGGCAGGUGAUGUGUCCUUGUUCUUUCCCUGACGUGCCCAGUCCUCUUGCAAGUGACUUGAAAGGAUGCACCAGCCUGGCUGCAGGCAGAGGUGUGAAGAAGGUCCUUGCUUCCCCUUCACCUUCUGCCAUGAUUCUAAGUUUCCUGACGCCUCCCAGCCGUGCUUCCUGUUAAGCCUGUGAAACUCCUUUGGAAUGAGUACACAUCCAGGAGUGAAGAAGACAAGCUCAACUGCCAUUCUCUGAGCAGUUCAAGGCAUACUGAGUUGCGGGAGUUGUGUGGUGGUCCACUCUGACUGCAAGCACCCCUUUCUUGAACCGAACAGAGUCAAGUGGAAUCAAAGGACAUUACCUGUUGAUUCUUGGGCAAGGCCCAGAAUUUGGUGGACAUACUUAAAGAAGAAAGGAAUCUUCAGCUAAAGUGUCUACGAUCAAUUCAGAUUUGGAGGGCAUGGAUCUUCUGACAGUAGGGGCCAUUCUAGGAUUUUUUGGUUGAAGAGAUGAACUUCAACUUGGUUCCAGAUGGGUGGUCCAGCUAUUCUGCUGACAACAUUUUUCAGGGCAAGGCUUUUGCUACUGGAAUGAUUUAAGGAAGAUCCCUCAGUGUUUCAGAGUAAAGAUAUUUCUAAAGAAGUACCUGUGUCAUUGCCCAUCUUGAAGAUUGACUUUUAUGGAUUGCUCAAAUACUGAUAUCAGCUCAAUGUCAAUAUAUACUCCUACAUAUAAAAUCCAUCUUCUAAUCAUAAUCACUAGGUAAGAUGCUAGUGCAAGUUGAAGUUCUUAAAGGAGAUGACCUGAACAGCCUUCUUAGUGUACCAGGGAGACCAGAUUGAGUUUAAACUAUGUUUACCCUGCACUCAGACACGCCUAGGUGUGUCUGGGAGAUUAGUAGAUGGUGUUCAACAAGGAUCUAUUUAAACAAGGGAGACAUUAAUUUGGAUUCCUUUGGUUGUAAAUUUCCAAAAAAAAAAAAAAG